ACCGCGGCGGCUGUCUGAAAGUUGGCUGCUGUGAGUUCGUCGGGAAAUACUGAAGUAUGUCUGCUCACAUGUGAUCAUACUACAGUAGUUCUUGACGAAUUUACAGCGGUCCCCACUCACAC
rnacentral:pre_miRNA from 1 species